AGCCCACUAAAGAAUGCUGUUCUGACAACCAUGCUGACAUCAGCUGAUGAAGCUUGUGUGCACUCGUGCUUUGACAUUAUAGACUGCUGUAUGUAAGGUGAAGAGUUUUUGAUUUUGGAAGUCGGAAGGAGUCACAGCAAUUUCAACUUCAGUCAAAAGAAGGAAAAGCGUCUAUCUUGGAGAAAUAGAAAAGGACAAGAUCAACAAGAAAAGGCAAGGACUCUUGCUUAAGAGAAGUUAAUUCUAGGAAAUUGCAAGCACCUUUACCACCAAGAGAAUAUUAUGGAAAUUAUGAUUUUUCACUGGACUGUACUGAGGGAAAACUGACCCGUGUAUUGUAAGGUGUGUGUGUGACUCUCUUAAGAACAGAAGGGGUUUGGAAACAUUUGAUCUUUCUUGGGACUCCAGAAAACUGAAACACAGAGUGGUGCAGUAGUUCUACAUUGGAAGUUUGGAAGGGAAGGAGGAAAGAGAGUUGUGGAUGUUUGCAUAGAAACAAACUUUACCACUGUGUUCUGGGGGAUUUGCAGCCGUUUCCUUUCAUUACGUGUCACUGGGUAGCUUUGCUGCAGAGGUGAACGAUCUGAGCAGAACGUUCAAGUGUUCGGAACAGCCAGGAAUGAC
rnacentral:lncRNA from 1 species